rfam:Triticum aestivum genome assembly, contig: Triticum_aestivum_CS42_TGACv1_scaffold_062494_1DL
UGUGUAUCGCCUCCGUCCGGAAGUACUUGUCAAAGCAAUGGAUGUAUCUAGACGUAUUUUAGUUCUAGAUACAACCAUUUUUAUCCAUUUGUGCGACAAGUAAUUUCGGAUGGAGGGAGUAUUUA